GCCACGUUCAUGGUAGACGCUCCGGUCUCAAAAUCCGGUGGGGUAACACCCGUGUGGGUUCAAGUCCCACCUUCGGUA
rnacentral:tRNA from 1 species